GCUAUACAUGCAGUCGAGCGGACGGAUGGGAGCUUGCUCCCUGAAGUCAGCGGCGGACGGGUGAGUAACACGUGGGCAACCUGCCUGUAAGACUGGGAUAACUCCGGGAAACCGGGGCUAAUACCGGAUAACUCUUUUCCUCACAUGAGGAAAAGCUGAAAGAUGGUUUCGGCUAUCACUUACAGAUGGGCCCGCGGCGCAUUAGCUAGUUGGUGAGGUAACGGCUCACCAAGGCCACGAUGCGUAGCCGACCUGAGAGGGUGAUCGGCCACACUGGGACUGAGACACGGCCCAGACUCCUACGGGAGGCAGCAGUAGGGAAUCUUCCGCAAUGGACGAAAGUCUGACGGAGCAACGCCGCGUGAGUGAUGAAGGUUUUCGGAUCGUAAAACUCUGUUGUCAGGGAAGAACAAGUACCGGAGUAACUGCCGGUACCUUGACGGUACCUGACCAGAAAGCCACGGCUAACUACGUGCCAGCAGCCGCGGUAAUACGUAGGUGGCAAGCGUUGUCCGGAAUUAUUGGGCGUAAAGCGCGCGCAGGCGGUUCCUUAAGUCUGAUGUGAAAGCCCCCGGCUCAACCGGGGAGGGUCAUUGGAAACUGGGGAACUUGAGUGCAGAAGAGAAGAGUGGAAUUCCACGUGUAGCGGUGAAAUGCGUAGAGAUGUGGAGGAACACCAGU
rnacentral:rRNA from 2 species